CUAUUAUCAUCCCAUGAAGGCAAGCCUUGGAGCAACAGAGAAGCGCUUGCGUUUCUACUGGCAACCGGGUUUCUAAUUUCGGAGCCAACCUUUCCAAUAGAUGGUACUUUUGUAACAAAAAAGAAAUAAAGAAUUCCAUUCUAGAGGGAUGACUAGUGUAAAUGAGACAAUGAUCUUCUGUCCACUUGACAUGUCUCGCAGAAUUUAGAUUGAAAGUAAGGAAGCUUUUUUGCUGGUCUAUGUUUUGAUGAGUAAAAGAGAAUAUCAACUCCAUUAAUGUGGUGAGAGAAAGUGGUUUAGGGAAACUGGAAAGAACCCAAGAAGGCUGCUCUAGGAAACAACGAGAGGAAAAUGGAAGUUCGGUGGGUGAUAAGGGGGUGAGAGUUCUUAAUCUCGAUCUUUCUGCUGCAUUUUUUGGGUUAGGUAAUAAGUAGAUAGACACUUGAAAGUUGGCACUAACUGUCAAAUAGACACCUUAACUAUGUCAGUGUUUAGGUGCACCCCUAUUUUUGGCAAAAUUAUCUCGUAAGCUCACACUGACAUGACAAAAUGCAUGUUUACACUCAAAUUUGAGCGUCUGAAAGUCCUUCAAAAUCUAUUUUAUAAAAGAUUGUAUGGGCCCCACAUUUUCACCCUCCGCAUGUCUCUUCCUGUUAUCCAUUAACUAUAUGAGGCAAAGAACAAAUAUUUGCAUAAAACUGAAAA